GUCGCGCCGUAUCUCAAAAACAAUUUAUGAUUAUUGCUUGAAACUGUACACACUUCUUUGUUAUACUAGUUUAAAGAUCUGUAUACUUUUUGGUUUGAUUCAAAAUUUUAUUUUAGUGAUAUUUGUAAAAAAUAAACAGGGUGGGGGGGGGGGGGUUUCACAUGUCCCGCCGUGUCUCAAAAACAAUAAAUGGUUAUUGCUUAAAACUUCCACACAAGACGUCGGGCGUAUCAUGCGCUCAUGGCGCAGCUGUUUAAUUUGAGAGGAUUAAUAUUCAACAGCAUAGUAAAUUAGUCAAAGGCAAAAAAAAUAUUUUAAGUUCAUUAGACCACAUUCAUUCUGUGUCAGAAACCUAUGCUGUGUCAACUAUUUCAUCACAAUCCGAAUUUAGAGCUGAAUCCAGCUUGAAUGUUGUGUCCAUACUUGCCCCAAUCAUUCAGGGUUCAACCUCUGCGGUCGUAUAAAGCUGCGCCCUGCGGAGCAUCUGGUUAUUUAUUGCAAAAGUGCAUAUAUAAAAGGUUGUCUCCCUUUAUAUAGGACACUAUCUAUAAGUACACAUAGUAUUACUAAUGAAAUUUGUAUAUAUAUGUUCACCAUAAUUUUAACAUAUAAACAAGCUGUGUUUUUAUUGUGUGAUUCUCAUUAUGAUUUAUCAUGUAUAGUUACUGUGUAUUAUAAAUGUAUUAAAAUUGUCAACAUUUCAACAGGUUUUUUUCUUUUAAUACGAUAUCAUUAAUGCACCUGUAUUUUAAUAACAAACCCACAUUUGCUUGAGGAUACUUUCACCCACUAACAUGUUAAACACCGCCAUAUGCUGUAUGUGUAUGCAUGUCCCAAGUCAGGAGUCUGUAUUCAAUUCCAAAAGCAUCAAAAAUAUUCUUAAACUGAAAAAGUAUCAGAUCAAAGAUACAGAAGGGCAUUUAAAAGUUGUCUUAAAGACAGACGAUGCAAUAGCUAUGAAAGAAAAAAAAGAAAAAACAAACAUCAGUACACACAACUCCACA
rnacentral:lncRNA from 1 species